GGUAUCCUGACCGUGCUAAGGUAGCAUAAUCAUUUGCCUCUUAAUUAGAGGCUUGUAUGAAUGGUUAAACGAAUUUUCACCUGUCUCCUUAAAAAAUAUAAAAAUUAAUUUUUUAGUGAAAAAGCUAAAAUAUAUAUAAAGGACAAAAAGACCCUGUAGAACUUUAUUUACGUAUAUUUAUAUAUUUUAUAUAUUAUUAAAAUAUAAAUAAACUACAAUUUGGUUGGGGUGACUUAGGAAUAUAAAAAACUUCCUAUAUAUAAUAGAAUUAUAAUUCUAAUCAAUGAACCAUAUUAUAUGUCAAUAAGAAUAGUUACCUCAGGGAUAACAGACUAAUUUUCCUUAAGAGAUCAUAUUGACAGGAAAGUUUGGCACCUCGAUGUUGGGCUUAGGAA
rnacentral:rRNA from 1 species